AUGACCUGGAGCUGCAGAGCGACGCAGCUUUCCGUGCAGUCGUCACUCCCUUCUAGGUAUCAGCUCCCCGCUGCCUUGCGCCUGGCGGGCUGGCACUGGGUCCGAGGAAAGCGGAGCAGUAGAUCGGUGUGGCACUGUUCUGUGGCGAGGCAAGGGAAGAAAGAGAGAAGAAAACUGCACGGGAUCUGUGGAGUUUUCCAGAUUCCCCUGUCUGACCACCUUGGUGAAAGAAAUGAUGGACUUUUGGGAGAAACCCUAGAAUCUUACAGGUCUUCCCAUAGGCCCACAGUAGGGCUGUUUACCAUUGGAAGCAAGGGAAAGGGGGAGACUGGCUUGGAACCAUGA
rnacentral:lncRNA from 1 species